rnacentral:rRNA from 1 species
UUGUGACCUCAAAUCAGGUGGGACUACCC